UGGGGAAUAUUGCACAAUGGGCGCAAGCCUGAUGCAGCCAUGCCGCGUGUGUGAAGAAGGCCUUCGGGUUGUAAAGCACUUUCAGCGAGGAGGAAGGUGGUGAGCUUAAUACGCUCAUCAAUUGACGUUACUCGCAGAAGAAGCACCGGCUAACUCCGUGCCAGCAGCCGCGGUAAUACGGAGGGUGCAAGCGUUAAUCGGAAUUACUGGGCGUAAAGCGCACGCAGGCGGUUUGUUAAGUCAGAUGUGAAAUCCCCGGGCUCAACCUGGGAACUGCAUUUGAAACUGGCAAGCUAGAGUCUCGUAGAGGGGGGUAGAAUUCCAGGUGUAGCGGUGAAAUGCGUAGAGAUCUGGAGGAAUACCGGUGGCGAAGGCGGCCCCCUGGACGAAGACUGACGCUCAGGUGCGAAAGCGUGGGGCAGCAAACAGGAUUAGAUACCCUGGUAGUCCACGCUGUAAACGAUGUCGAUUUGGAGGUUGUGCCCUUGAGGCGUGGNUUCCGGAGCUAACGCGUUAAAUCGACCGCC
rnacentral:rRNA from 1 species